rnacentral:rRNA from 1 species
CAGCCGCCGCGGUAAUACGUAGGUGGCAAGCGUUGUCCGGAAUUAUUGGGCGUAAAGGGAGCGCAGGCGGUCAGGAAAGUCUGGAGUAAAAGGCUAUGGCUCAACCAUAGUGUGCUCUGGAAACUGUCUGACUUGAGUGCAGAAGGGGAGAGUGGAAUUCCAUGUGUAGCGGUGAAAUGCGUAGAUAUAUGGAGGAACACCAGUGGCGAAAGCGGCUCUCUGGUCUGUCACUGACGCUGAGGCUCGAAAGCGUGGGUAGCGAACAGGAUUAGAUACCCCUGUAGUCCCUGUCUCUUAUACC